rnacentral:piRNA from 1 species
UAGGAAUUUCUGGUUUUAGGGUU